AUGUCUACUUCAAAGAUUAGAGGUGGUAUGGGUUUUAGAGAUUUGCAAUUGUUCAAUGAUGCUAUGCCAGCAAAGCAAGCUUGGAGAUUGUUGGAAAAACCAGAGAGCCUUUGUGCAUGAGUCCUGAGAGGACGGUAUUUUCCAGAUGGAAACUUUCUUGAGGCUGGAUGUCCUAAGGGGGCAUCGGCCACGUGGCGAGCAAUAUGCACAGGACGAACAACCUUGAAGGAGGGGCUAAUUAAAUAUGAAUUGGGAAUGGGCGGACAUCCGAGGUGUGUCAUGAUAGAUGGAUCUCAGGAACAAAAACGAUGA
rnacentral:rRNA from 1 species